AAAAAAUCAAGAACAGAAGUCUCUCAACAUUUAAGUUUUACAAACAAAUAGAAUCUGAGCCACUGGGUUAAACAUGACAAACGACACACAGUAACAAAUAUUGAAGACAUCGUAAUGCCAAAGCAACAGAAGCAGCACCGGAAAUGUUGCUGAGGCCACCAUUUAAUUAACGCAAGUUGAACAUAUGGCUUUGGUUACAUGUGGUUCCAGGCCGGAGGCAUGAAAGUCAGUGUUUGUGGGAAAGCCAGGAGGAAAAGCUCCUCUCCCCACCCCCUUCUUGUCACUCCAGGUUCUGGUGACCCCAUCUCAGGACACGGCCUCCCAUUUCACUCCUGCACCAACCCCACUCUUGUAACACUGCACAUGCAAGAUGUGAGCAUCUUCAAAGUACGAAUAUUGCCUUCUUCAUUUUAGAAUCCAUGAUGUGCUUGUGGGGAGAAUGAAUGAAUGCUCAAACAUGAAUGGAGAGAGACAGAGAGGAAGUGCAGGUCUAACCAAGGAAACAUUCUUUCCUAGAAAAUCGUUGAUGAGCCCAGAAAGAGUUGGCUGAAUAACGGUAACAAUUCUUUUAUUAUUAUUUAACUUAUUAAGUUAUUAGAAAAAGUAAAACAGUGAGUCAAGGUUUUUGGAUUGGAAGAAGGGACCCACUGAGUUCCCUCCAGGAUUGUGGAGUUUCUUUUACAGCCAUAUGUGGAUAAGAAACUAAGGGCCACAGACCAAAUAACAGGUCGGAUGGCAACCCUGGAAAAGUCACACAGCUCAGCCUGUUGGAGGAAGAGGAGCAGUAGAACCUGUGUGGAGCCUGACAGAACCCAAGAUGCCAUUCACGAACCGCGAGGUCUUUCAAGAUCACACACAGUUCUACGACACAGACAUUUCAUCUUCUUGCUACUCAGUAGCGGGGCCCAUCCCUCUGUGCCUCCAAGCUCCGUGCGCCACGUGGAAAACUCAGGUGUUCUGUCUCUGCCAGGACCUUCUUCCUGCUGCUUAUUUAAGUGUCUGCUGCUUCGGGGCCUCAGGUGCCUGCUUUAUCUCUUUCUCCUUUACUAUCAAGUCUUUACUCUAAGCAAUUUGCCAAGACAGAGAAUCUCACUGGCCUGGUGGGGCUGAGCCUUCCUUCACUGGCUGACCAACCGGGAAGUGGGCUGCUGCUUGGAUCAGGUGCGUGCCACAGUUCAUCUAGCCGUGCCCAGAGUUCUAGGGAUAUGCGCAUGACCCCGUGUGUGGGCAGAGGCUCUUAGCAGGGGCCGAGAGCAUUGGAGGCAUCUUGAGGGCCAGAGUCCCCAGCCCCAGAUCACAGAUACAGCAUGAUCAAAAUGUGAGGGAGCAGGGGCAGAGAUUAUUUGGAAUAACGUGCUGAGUUUGUACACUUUUGACAAUUAAAAGCCCUGUGUCCCCCUGAUGUCAUGCACAUGCUCCAGAGGAGCCACUUGGGACAAAGAAUCAAUAAUGGGCGCUUGGUGUGCACUGAAAGCUGAUAGUGUAUAUUUGUGGGGACUAUACAGGGAAAGGAAUAUGAAGCCUUGACAAGAUAUGGUGAGUAUGUAUCAGUGAGGUAGGUAACUCAUUCAUAAGGGACUUUGCAAGGUGGCAACACUGGUUCAAAGAUAUUACGAGAAUAAAGAUUUUGUGUACUCUGAGAACGAAAAGGAAUGCUGACGUAAGAUCACAAAGUUAGAUACUAAACUGGCUAAUGUGCUACAGGGCAGCAAAACUAUAACCUUUGGGGUAAUUUAUCUGACCAGAUAGGAAUCAUUUGCAUCUCUGUAGAACAGAAAAACACUUACCUUUUUUUUUUUUUUUUUUUGAGACAGUAUCUGGCUCUGUCCCCCAGGCUGGAGUGCAGUAGCAUGAUCUUGGUUUACUGCAACCUCCACCUCCUAGGCUCAAGCCAUCCUCCCACCUCAGCCUCCAGAGUAGCUGGGACUACAGGCACACACCACCAUGCCCAGCUAAUUUUUGUAUUUUUUGUAGAGAAGGGGUUUUGCCGCCAUGUUGCACAGGCUGGUCUCAAACUCUUGAGCUCAAGCCCACCUCAGCCUCUCAAAGUGCUGGGAUUAUAGGCGUGAGCUCCCGUACCCAGACAGCACUUACAUUUUAAUAGUUUCUACACAGUACUAUCUCAUGUUAUUUUAUUUUUUUAAAUCGAUAAUGGGAAUCUUGCUAUGUUGCUCACACUAGUCUUGAACUCCUGGCCUCAAGCAAUCCUUCCAUCUUGGCCUCCAAAGUACUAGGGUUACAGGCAUGAGCCGGGGCUCCUGGCCUAACUAAUUUCAGAGUUAAGAACGUUUGGACUCUAUUUUAUAGUAAAAAAUAAGUCAAAGCUACCUUCCCCUAGAUAGCCAAAUGACUCUCAGAUGGGCUCGUUAGACAGUGCUUUAAUUUAAUAUUGAAAGAACUUUUUGCUUCCCCUCCUCCAAGUUUUAAUAAUUCUUAACAGAAACAGCAACAAAAUUUUUGCUGUAGUGGGUAUUAAAGAAGGGAAAACAAUCAUGAAUGCCGGAGUCAAAAUGCCCAAGGAGCGGAGGCACCAGGGUUCUCCACCUGGUUUGGCGGCGCACCAGCAGUGUGACCUGGAAUCUGAUCUCUCUGGAGCUCAGUGUCCUCACCUAUAAAAUGGGGUAUUGAACUACACACUUGGCAGGACUUUGCCCUAAAGCUAAUUUUCAAAAUAAAAUUUAAAAAAAGCCACUUCCCUUUUCCCACAUUAACCCUGAGAGAGGAAGAGGAAGCGGGAAGCCCGCACAUGGAAGCAAUUUACUGCAGACGUUCCUGGGCUGGGAGAGGAGCCUUCUGACUGCUGCAGAGACCAUCACCCGGUCCUGCACCUUUACCGGAGGUGCGGAGAACUGCUCGGCCCGCACCGGGCUCGGGGGUGUUCACGGGCUGCGCUGCCUCCGCUGCGCGCAGGACAGGAGUCUCCGGAGGCCGGUGGUGGAUUUCCUCCCCGCAUCUCACCUCUCAGUCCAAAGUCAAAUUGCUCUUUUCUCCGCCCACGCGGGCGUGGCAGCUGAUAUCCAGCCGCUGGGCGUCCCCGCGCCCCCGGGGGCCCCGCCCUGCAGCUAUCACCGCGGCCCACCCGGCGGCGCCUCCCCGCAGGGCUGCUCCCCAGCCCAAACCGCCGCGGCGCGACGUGGAGCCAGCCCCGCAAAGCUGCAUCCACCCCCGAGGACCAGCCCCUCGAAGGCAAGGCCAGGACCUGCCCGGGCGGCUGCAGCCGUGAGCCACCCCUGUUUUGUGAAACACACACUCUGCCGUUUCAGGCCGCACUUGCCCGUUGCCAUGGGCGUUUUCUAUGUUGCCACAAGCAGGGACACGGAAUCCCUUGACUUUGAGUUGCAGAUCGUGGGUGUUGGCGUCUCCGCUGCGUUACCAGGAAGGAUGGAAGGGGCUUCAGCCUCCAUUCUCACUUUCCUUCUCAAGGAGUUGGCUAAGCAUCAGGAGUUUUCUCUUAGGCUUCUCUCAGGUCCCCUUUCCCUGAGAGGUGAAAAGUUUUUUAGAAAGGUGAGCAGCUUUCUCUUUAUUCCCAGGGACCACUUCACACACCCCUUUUUCGCCUCCAGAGUAGAUGGAACCGUGGAACGAGGGAAUCCUGCCCUCUGGUUGUGUCUGUCAUCUCCUACUGGGACCAGAGCCACAAAAGCCACAGAAGACCCAACUCUCUCCAGCAUGCAGGCAUCCCAACUAGAGGAAGCAAGGAGGCAGAGACCAAGAGGACAUCAAGAGGCGUUUGAACCCGCAGAGAGGGCCUGGCAGCACAAUGCUGAGCCCCUUUGAUUUCAGGAAGCUGUGGACCGUGUUUAGCCUGUGGCUCUGUGUGCCCCUUGGCUGCUGCUUCUGCUUACUCCUGAGGGUGAAGUUGCUAACAUAAGAAACAAGAGUAAUUUGGAUUUGCGCUUCUUGGAGAAAGAAUUGUGCCAUGAAAAAUGGAAAACUCCUGAGAAGCUGUUCCAGCGUCAGGAGAGCAGCAGACAAGCUGGACUGGGGAAGAUUCUUCUGCAAGACCUGCAGAGUGUAUGACACAUAACCAGCACCCAAGAAAUGUCUACCGAGGAAUUAAUGAAUGAGCCAUCUUGUGAUCAUCUGGCAAGACAGCCCAAGAAUAAAGCCGUCACCAUGGAGACUAAGAAGAGACAGAAAGACACUGGGUCUUCAUUGUCUCGUCCAGCUGUUCAUGAGGCCUUAUCUGAAGCCCACGUGACCUCUGGACUUCUCACUUACAUGAGAGAAUAAAGCUCUUUUUUGUUUAGACCAAAUAAAUACAUAAUACAAUUACAU
rnacentral:lncRNA from 1 species